rnacentral:rRNA from 1 species
CGCGUAGACGGUUUUGUAAGUCAGAUGUGAAAUCCCUGGGCUCAACCUGGGAACUGCAUUUGAUACUGCAUGGCUAGAGUAUGGAAGAGGGAAGUGGAAUUUCCGGUGUAGCGGUGAAAUGCGUAGAUAUCGGAAGGAACACCAGUGGCGAAAGCGACUUCCUGGUCCAAUACUGACGUUCAUGUGCGAAAGCGUGGGGAGCAAACAGGAUUAGAUACCCUGGUAGUCCACGCCAUAAACGAUGACAACUAGAUGUUGGGAGAGUCUGCCUCUCGGUGUCGCAGCUAACGCGUUAAGUUGUCCGCCUGGGGAGUACGGCCGCAAGGUUGAA